rnacentral:lncRNA from 1 species
GAGUUCAUGUGUUCAGCCUUCUUUCUAAUGAUGGCAAUAAGCAGCUGUCAACUAUUAUCUGAUGAUGUGAGGUGCUGGUAGGAGAAAUAAACUCAUCACUCUUACUGGUGCCAAAUUUUCUAAAGCAGAACAUCCUCCACUCUGGUUUGAGUGCAGUCUGUUGCAACGAUUCUUCUGGAGCUACGUGCAAGAUUGCAGUGUAUCAGAAGUUAUCAACUGAUGAGCAGCAUGACUUAUCAACACUAUAGUGGUUGUGCUUUGACAGGUAAUCCCUUGGAGAAGACCUCAUCAGUAUCACCUAAAAGUAGAAACCAGUUGCCAGCCGAUUUUUUUGUCUUCUUGCAGCGCUGCUUCACAGAUCUGCCUGUUUGCAUUAUAGAAGUUUCAGUCUUCCAGUUGGAGAGAAGUGACACAGAUAUUUAA